rnacentral:rRNA from 1 species
GAUGAACGCUGGCGGCGUGCUUAACACAUGCAAGUCGAACGAAGCACUUAGGAAAGAUUCUUCGGAUGAAAGCCUUUGUGACUGAGUGGCGGACGGGUGAGUAACGCGUGGGUAACCUACCUCAUACAGGGGGAUAACAGUUGGAAACGACCGCUAAUACCGCAUAAGCCAACAGAACCGCAUGGUUUAGUUGGAAAAGAUUGAUCGGUAUGAGAUGGACCCGCGUCUGAUUAGCCAGUUGGCAGGGUAACGGCCUACCAAAGCGACGAUCAGUAGCCGGCCUGAGAGGGUGAACGGCCACAUUGGGACUGAGACACGGCCCAA